GCUGGGAGUGGUAGCGCACUCCUGUAAUCUGGCUAUUCAGAGGCCCAGGUUGGUGGAUGGCUUGCGGACGGGAGUCCUGUUGGGUUUCUCUCUAUGUGGAUCGGGUGUCCGCACUAAGCUCGGCAUCAAUAUGGUUCCCUGGGCGGAGGUCUGGGGGCCCAGGUUGACUAAGGAAGACCGUACCGGGCCAGAGCAGAAAUGCAGCAGCCAAAAGGUCUCGUGUUGAGCAGUAUGGUGGGAUCGCGCCCGUGAAUAGAGAACAUCCAGCAGCCCGACCUAGACAGUUGGACCCAAUCUUUU
rfam:Lingula anatina scaffold276, whole genome shotgun sequence.